UAAACAUUGUAAUGAAAUACUAAACAAAGAGGCAUUCACGAGGACAGCUACGUAUUCUCUUCCUGCUUUCAACAGCUGCCGUAACUACGACAACCACAGAAUCAUUGGGCUGAAAGUCGCCAGUUAUCAGGGUCGCCUGAUAAACCAUAACACCGGACGUUAUAAUAGCUACAGCUAGAAAAUGACUGUUCAGUUUGACCCUGAGUCAAACACCGAGUCGAACUCUGAAGAGGAAGAGGCCCCAGCAGCAGCAGCACUUCCACCUCGAAUGCAGCGGGACCUUCCACAAUGGUGCACAUGUGGAAAUUGUGCAAGGAUGCCUACAGAACCGGAGAAUAUAUGCUGCUUGGAGACACAAAAGGUUAAAAGAUGGAUGGAGCAGCUGCAGGACAACAUCUCCUGCAUGAUAGAACAUCCUGGGUUGGACCCUGUAUGUUUAAAUAUGUUCACAAUGCAAAACGCAUACAACAUUUACAGGGCUGAAUAUGGUGCUUUACAGCAAAGGGCGAUAGAGCGGUAAGUGGUUUCUUACUUAUUUGAUCAUCAUCAUUUUAAUGAAAAAGUACAAUGUCUGGGAUGUUGGAUCUUCAUUAUCUCCUCCACGUAUGGCGCCGGGUCCACAAAGACUUCUUCAAAGACCAGGUCCAUCAGGUCAUCCACAUACCCUGUGCAAUAUAGACAAACAGAUAGAUUUUUAUACAAUUUCAUGUUUCAAAAAAAAGACUGAAAAUGUUUUUAUUUUUUACUAUUUUUUAUAUAUUAUAUUUACAUAAAUAUGUUUUGCUCUACUUUAUACAAUAUUGACAUUUUCUCAGGUUUAUGUUUGCUUUUACUGUGUUUUUUGUUUAUGUGAAGUGUUACGAAUUUGACGUGCAAUAUUACAAAUAUUGUACAUAAUACAUGUCAGGUCAGUCUUUACAACUUUUGCUCAGCAUUCUCCCUUCCUGGCCUUUGAGAACUGCAGUCGAAGCAGGGUGCUGCUCAACACUACACAUAGAUUUAACACUCUUUUCAGUUUCAUUUCAUUUCACAGUAUCAAGUAACAGCAUCCACACUGCUACUGUCACUGCCACAACAAUGGCUUCAGGAACACUUAAAAAUCCACUGCAGGAACUGAGGGACAUGUUCCCCCUAAUCCCUCAGAGGAAGAAACGUUGUUUAAUUGGUCCUGACUCACGAUCAACAUCUGGUGCUGCCCCAAAGGUGAAGUCGGAAGUUCUAACAGCAAGACUAAACACAGAAUCUGGUGUCUGCUUUCGAGCUAUUUGAUACAAUUGAGGAUUUCCUGCACUCGGAUGAUGUGCGCAUUGCACGUCAUCCGACCACAAUUGACAAGCCACAGGAAAAUCUUGAGUAUAGAUUUGACACAGAUGGCAUUGUCAUCAGACUAAAUAAUGUGCGAUCACUCAAGGCAUGCACUUCCUGUUUCUGCCUGAGUUCAAAAGUCACAUGCUUGUCCCACAGUAUCAUAUUGUGAAAAAAACAUUUGAACCUGACAGCCCUCAGUGGUGAAGGGUUGAAGGCACUCUGAAAUGCCUUAGGGUAUGUCAUUGUGUAUGUUGAUGGUGGUUACUUCCUCAAUCUCACAGCUGUACCUUUGAGCAAGACAAACCCAAAUCCUCAUCUUUCUCAAAUGAUGUUAUAGGGAAUUGGCAACAACCUCAUUAAAUGAGGUUGUCACCAUCUUCAGGCAUCAGCUGAUGAUCAUGGAGAGUGAGGACAUACAACGACCCACCAUCCAGAAUCAGUGUUUGUCCAGCAUAUCAAAGAUGAAUGCCAUUCAUCUUAGAUCUGUUGGACAAGGCCAUCAAACAUACCAAUAGUAGCAACAAUGACCUCUAUAUUCUGGCAACUGUCAGCAGGUUUGGACAGAGGAAGACACAUCUGUUGCUCUGGAUUUUAUUGACAUGGAGUGUGUCCACUCAAUAUCGAUCCAUGCUGCAUGCACUGUGGCAACCAAGGACCCUCAAAUCCACAUGUUUGGGUCAAGGUAUGGCUUGCAAGAUCUUGUGGGAUUUGGCAGUCGCCUGUUCUCAGUGCUUUCCAUGCAUGAGGCAGCGAAUUUUCAGACAACAAGCCCAUGGAUUUUAGACAUCCCAUAUGGGUCCUGUUCAAGUGGAAGUCCCUUCAGUUUGUACAGAUGUAUGUGCUGUCACCACAUGUCCACUUCAAGACACAAUACAAACAUCCUGUGAGUGGGGUGAUUGUUACAUGUGGGCUGACCCACCAUCAGACACAAAAAGCCAUGUAUGCCAGGGCUCUGGCAUACAUGGAUCACACGGAUGAUUUACAAUCAAAGGUGGGGGGGGUCAGCUCAAGUCCAGGAUUGAGCAGGUUGUGUACUUGACUGGAGCUGAGAUGCCCAAAGUCAUUGUCCCUGCUGACUUCUUUGAUACCGUCAACCUGGACCAACUCCUUAGCACUCAACCAGUCAUCCUCCCAUUUAUUGAAGGAGAGGAAGGGGGCCUGAUUGCCACACUGUCCCAAAGCAUGGACUUCCUCACCACACUGCUGAGGAACACUUUUGACUCAAAUAAGGCAAUGGGAGGGUAUGUUGCCAGCUGGAAAUCGUACCAAAUUGAACUGACCUUGGAGGAGCUGAUAUACGGACAUCCAGUCUCCCCAUCGGAUUUUCACCUGAGUGCAUCGUUGAGCAAAUGUUCAGUGAACCCAAGGAGCCUCACCCACUGCCGUGGCUUCCUGGGUUUGGCUCUGUACAACUCUGCCUCUGUGUGAGAAGACCUCCCCACCCCUUGAGUCGUGGACAAAAGAUGAUGUGCUAAAAAGGAACAUCAGGAGGGUCUUCCCAGUGAUGGACACAUUUCAAGCAGCACCAGCAGUGGUUGGGACAGAGCUGAUCACUAUCCUCCUGUGUGACAUCUACAAAUCCCCAAAAGACUUCAUCCCUUUUGCAGAAAUGAAGUCUUCUGCCAAAAGUGAUGGAUGGGUCCUGAAAGGGUCCAUGACCAUUGAGGCAAUGGUCAUGGACCCACCCACAGAUGACCGUGAGGCUUGAUCAAAGAAACCAUGCAGAACAGGUAAAACAACAUCAUAUAACUUAACAACUUGCAUUGCCUGAAACCUGGAAAGGGGGGUGGGGAUUCAAUUACACCUGAUGGCACAGGUGUAGAAAAUUUACAUUAAUGAGAUCAUUAGGGCAUGGAUCCAGGCUAUAUAAAGUCAGUCAACAUGGCACAACUUGGUGGGUUUGUGAGGA